CCGACGUGGUCAUCCAGUCAGUUUCCUGGCUCUGUCCUGGUGGCGUAUGGGAGCGUAGCUUUCGAGCUGAGACGUACAUUCCCGUUCCACGACGUCGUAGACUAAGCUCCGCCCCCCGGCCGUCAGGUCGGCGAGGGCCUCGGCGUCCUGCAUAUUCCUACAUCUUCCCAGAGUCCUUUGGGGCCGUGACUGGGGGGCUAAACCAUGCAGUGCACAUCA